AGCCCAAUCCUAGCUCAACCCACCAAAACAAAACAAUCAAAAACCCACUCCAAUCCACCAAUUAAAACAUUCUCACAAGCCCAGUAUAGGCGAUAGAAAAGCACCCACCUUGACGCCAUAGCGAUCAGUACCGCAAGGGAAAGGUGAAAGAAUAGUGAACAAACAAAGCAAUAAAUAGCAAAGAUACACCCUUGUACCUCUCGCAUCAUGAUUUAGCAAGUACUCCCAGACAAAACGAAUUAAAGCCUGCUACCCCGAAACUCGAGCGAGCUACUUACAGGCAGCUACUUCCGAGCGAACCCGUCUCUGUUGCAAAAGAGUGGGACGACCUGUUAGUAGAGGUGAAAAGCCAACCGAGCCGAGUGAUAGCUGGUUGCCUGUGAAACGAAUCUAAGUUCACCCUUAAUUUUCCUCCCCGGACACCCAACCCAACCCCCACGUAGAAAAUCAAGAGCAAUUUAAAGGGGGUACAGCUCCUUUAAAAAAGAACACAACCUCCUCUAGCGGAUAACCACCAACUUGCACCCUCCCAUGUAGGCCUUUAAGCAGCCACCAACAAAGAAUGCGUCAAAGCUCCUCACCUUAAAAAAUCUAAAAACAACACGACUCCCUUAUCACUAACAGGCUAACCUAUAAUGAAUAGAAGAAUUAAUGCUAAAAUAAGUAACUAGGGAAAAUUCCCUCUAAGCGCAAACUUACAUACCCCUAUUAUUAACAGCCCCCAACUAAUACUACAACCUUAAACCAGACUAAAUAUUAUCACACUCUGUUACCCCAACUCAGGAGCGCUUGUCCAGAAAGAUUAAAACCUGUAAAAGGAACUAGGCAAACCCAAGGCCCGACUGUUUACCAAAAACAUAGCCUUCAGCUCCACCAAGUAUUGAAGGUGAUGCCUGCCCAGUGACACCACGUUCAACGGCCGCGGUAUCCUAACCGUGCGAAGGUAGCGCAAUCAAUUGUCUCAUAAAUCGAGACUUGUAUGAAUGGCUAAACGAGGUCUUAACUGUCUCUUACAGAUAAUCAGUGAAAUUGAUCUUCCUGUGCAAAAGCAGGAAUAAGCACAUAAGACGAGAAGACCCUGUGGAACUUAAAAAUCAGUAGCCACCCUCAUACCAAACUAGAAACCUAAUAGGCUCAACUACCCAAAAGUGCUGGCUCACAUUUUUCGGUUGGGGCGACCUUGGAGAAAAGAAAAUCCUCCAAAAACAAGACCACACAUCUUAACAAAGAGCUACCUCUCAACGUGCUAACAGCGACCAGACCCAAUAUAAUUGAUCAAUGGACCAAGCUACCCCAGGGAUAACAGCGCAAUCUCCUCCAAGAGCCCAUAUCGACAAGGAGGUUUACGACCUCGAUGUUGGAUCAGGACAUCCUAAUGGUGCAGCCGCUAUUAAGGGUUCGUUUGUUCAACGAUUAACAGUCCUACGUGAUCUGAGUUCAGACCGGAGCAAUCCAGGUCGGUUUCUAUCUAUGAAAAAUUUUCCCCAGUACGAAAGGACCGGAAAAAUGAGGCCAAUACCACAUGCACGCCUCCUCUAUAAGUGAUGCACUCAACUAAACCACCAAAAGAACACCCAUACUAACUCCUCCUAGAAAAGGAUCG
rnacentral:rRNA from 1 species